CACGUAGGGCGCAAGCGUUGUCCGGAUUCAUUGGGCGUAAAGGGUGCGUAGGCGGCGCGGUAAGUCGGGUGUGAAAUCUUGGAGCUUAACUCCGAAACUGCAUUCGAUACUGCCGUGCUUGAGGACUGGAGAGGAGACUGGAAUUUACGGUGUAGCGGUGAAAUGCGCAGAUAUCAGGAGGAACACCUAUGGCGAAGGCAGCUCGCUGGGACGGUACUGACGCUGAGGCGCGAAAGCGUGGGGAGCAAACAGG
rnacentral:rRNA from 1 species